rnacentral:rRNA from 1 species
GUACGGAGGGUGCAAGCGUUAUCCGGAUUCAUUGGGUUUAAAGGGUGCGCAGGCGGAAUGAUAAGUCAGUGGUGAAAUCCUACAGCUUAACUGUAGAACUGCCAUUGAUACUGUCAUUCUUGAGUACACUUGAAGUGGGCGGAAUGUAUCAUGUAGCGGUGAAAUGCAUAGAUAUGAUACAGAACUCCGAUAGCGAAGGCAGCUCACUAAAUUGUAACUGACGCUCAGGCACGAAAGCGUGGGGAGCAAACAGGAUUAGAAACCCCAGUAGUCC